GACGAACGCUGGCGGCGUGCCUAAUACAUGCAAGUCGAACGCUUUUUCUUUCACCGGAGCUUGCUCCACCGAAAGAAAAAGAGUGGCGAACGGGUGAGUAACACGUGGGUAACCUGCCCAUCAGAAGGGGAUAACACUUGGAAACAGGUGCUAAUACCGUAUAACAAGUAAAACCGCAUGGUUUUACUUUGAAAGGCGCUUUUGCGUCACUGAUGGAUGGACCCGCGGUGCAUUAGCUAGUUGGUGAGGUAACGGCUCACCAAGGCAACGAUGCAUAGCCGACCUGAGAGGGUGAUCGGCCACAUUGGGACUGAGACACGGCCCAAACUCCUGCGGGAGGCAGCAGUAGGGAAUCUUCGGCAAUGGACGAAAGUCUGACCGAGCAACGCCGCGUGAGUGAAGAAGGUUUUAGGAUCGUAAAACUCUGUUGUUAGAGAAGAACAAGGAUGAGAGUAAAAUGUUCAUCCCUUGACGGUAUCUAACCAGAAAGCCACGGCUAACUACGUGCCAGCAGCCGCGGUAAUACGUAGGUGGCAAGCGUUGUCCGGAUUUAUUGGGCGUAAAGCGAGCGCAGGCGGUUUCUUAAGUCUGAUGUGAAAGCCCCCGGCUCAACCGGGGAGGGUCAUUGGAAACUGGGAAACUUGAGUGCAGAAGAGGAGAGUGGAAUUCCAUGUGUAGCGGUGAAAUGCGUAGAUAUAUGGAGGAACACCAGUGGCGAAGGCGGCUCUCUGGUCUGUAACUGACGCUGAGGCUCGAAAGCGUGGGGAGCAAACAGG
rnacentral:rRNA from 1 species